rnacentral:rRNA from 1 species
UACGGAGGGGGCAAGCGUUAUCCGGAUUUACUGGGUGUAAAGGGAGCGUAGACGGCAGCGCAAGUCUGGAGUGAAAUCCCAUGGCUUAACCAUGGAACUGCUUUGGAAACUGUGCAGCUGGAGUGCAGGAGAGGUAAGCGGAAUUCCUAGUGUAGCGGUGAAAUGCAUAGAUAUUAGGAGGAACAUCGGUGGCGUAAGCGCUUUACUGGGCCGUAAUUGACGCUGAGGAACGAAAGCCAGGGUAGCAAAUGGG